rnacentral:rRNA from 1 species
UACGUAGGGGGCAAGCGUUGUCCGGAUUUAUUGGGCGUAAAGAGCGUGUAGGCGGUCAGGUAGGUCGGUUGUGAAAACUGGAGGCUCAACCUUCAGAGGUCGACCGAAACCCCCUGGCUAGAGUCCGGGAGAGGAGAGUGGAAUUCCUGGUGUAGCGGUGAAAUGCGCAGAUAUCAGGAAGAACACCCGUGGCGAAAGCGGCUCUCUGGAACGGUACUGACGCUGAGACGCGAAAGCGUGGGGAGCAAACGGG